UUAAAAAGCUCGUAGUUGAACCUUGGGCCUGGCUGGCCGGUCCGCCUCACCGCGUGCACUGGUCCGGCCGGGCCUUUCCCUCUGGGGAGCCCCAUGCCCUUCACUGGGUGUGGUGGGGAACCAGGACUUUUACUUUGAACAAAUCAGAUCGCUUAAAGAAGGCCUAUGCUCGAAUGCUUUAGCAUGGAAUAAUAGAAUAGGACGUGUGGUUCUAUUUUGUUGGUUUCUAGGACCGCCGUAAUGAUUAAUAGGGACAGUCGGGGG
rnacentral:rRNA from 1 species